rnacentral:rRNA from 1 species
GAAGUGGGGAUGACGUCAAAUCAUCAUGCCCCUUAUGAUUUGGGCUACACACGUGCUACAAUGGACAAUACAAAGGGCAGCGAAACCGCGAGGUCAAGCAAAUCCCAUAAAGUUGUUCUCAGUUCGGAUUGUAGUCUGCAACUCGACUAUAUGAAGCUGGAAUCGCUAGUAAUCGUAGAUCAGCAUGCUACGGUGAAUACGUUCCCGGGUCUUGUACACACCGCCCGUCACACCACGAGAGUUUGUAACACCCGAAGCCGGUGGAGUAACCAUUUGGAGCUAGCCGUCGAAGGUGGGACAAAUGAUUGGGGUGAAGUCGUAACAAGGUAGCCGUAUCGGAAGGUGCGGCUGGAUCACCUCCUUUCUAAGGA